CUCUCUCCCUUGUUUCUUAAUUCUCUCCCUUUGCUUUCCAAAUUGCCUCCCAGGCCAUCUUGCCAUUGUGAAAUACUAUUGGAAUGUGAGUUUAUUGGAAGUUUAAUAGGUAACUGCUUAGAUUCUUCUGCUAAAGUUCAAAAUGUCCACACCUCCCAAGGAAUAACUCACGGUUUCUUAGGAAGAGUUCGAUAUAUAUGUGACUGGCUCAUGGAAUUAUGGUAUUUGGUGCCAUACUGCAUUAGGUUAUGAAUCUUCUUGCAAUCAAAUAACUACAGAAGGUGAUUAUUUGCUUGUGUCCUUGGUUCACUACCUUUGAAUGUUUAAUAUAUGGAUUGGGGAUUAGAGAUGUAUGUUUUUGGAAUGUGCUGUCUAAUUGGUUUUUGUAAUUCAGAACUGCGAUCUUCCAAAAUAUGGACAGCUUUGUCAUACACAUGGGAUAAUGCUGGGCACUUCAUUCAAGUAAGACGCUAUAGACCUACAUUGUCGCAAACCAACAAUGAAUGGUUCAACUGGAGUCGACAAGUUCAUGAGUUUUGUUUCAAAUAUCAUUUCCAGAAACGAACAUUCUCGGUUGGUCCAGUCAAAUAUAUUCGAAUGCUAUUUAAGAUAUUUUUUGAUUAAGGGCUAGUAUUUCGUACAUGUGGAUUACUGAAACUUGUAUUAAGAUGUACAAAUAUUAUAAAUCGUAUUAUAGUGUAUAUAUAUUAAAGUGUUGGCUAUUUUCUUGUACAUUGGUGUGAAACUUGUAUAAUUUCAAAUUUGUCAUUCUCAGCUA